UACGAAGGGUGCAAGCGUUACUCGGAAUUACUGGGCGUAAAGCGUGCGUAGGUGGUUUUUUAAGUCUGAUGUGAAAGCCCUGGGCUCAACCUGGGAAUGGCAUUGGAUACUGGCGAGCUAGAGUGCGGUAGAGGGUAGUGGAAUUCCCGGUGUAGCAGUGAAAUGCGUAGAGAUCGGGAGGAACAUCUGUGGCGAAGGCAGCCUCCUGGGCCAGCACUGACGCUCAUGCACGAAAGCGUGGGGAGCAAACAGG
rnacentral:rRNA from 1 species